rnacentral:sRNA from 1 species
CGUCCGCGCGCCGGCGGGGCGAGGCGGCCUGGCCCUGCGCGUCAGGCCUGAGACCUGGGAGGAAGCUGGAGAAAAGAUGCCCUCUGAAUCUUUCUGUUUGGCUGCCCAGGCUCGCCUCGACUCCAAAUGGUUGAAAACAGAUAUACAGGUAUUGAGUGUUGGUAGAUAUGAGAGUCCAGUGUUUAGAGCUGUGUUGCGUGGCCGGGCGCAGUGGCUCACGCCUGUAAUCCCGGCAGUUUGGGAGGCCGAGGCGGGUGGAUGCCCUGAGGUCAGGAGUUGGAGACCAGCCUGACCAACAUGGUGAAACCCCGUCUCUACUAAAAAUACAAAAUUAGCCAGGCGUGGUGGUGUAUGCCUGUAAUCCCAGCCACUCGGGAGGCUGAGGCAGGAGAAUCGCUUGAACCCGGCAGGUGGAGGUUGCAAUGGGUCAAGAUCAUGCCAUUGCACUCCAGCCUGGACAAUGAGAGCAAAACUGUUUCAAAAAAAAAAAA